UGGGCUGUGGCUCAGUGGUAGAGUGCUCACCUAGUACGUGCGAGGCCCUGGGUUUGACCCUCAGCACCACAU
rnacentral:tRNA from 1 species